GGGGACCGUCCCGGAGGUGUACCGAGGCCGACACCUAAAGUGCGCGCCAAUCGCCAACUUCGCCGUCAGAGACAGUAGUCAAGCCGAAGAGAGUGCCGGAAAGAUGAGCUAUUCGAGGAGCGUGACCCUGCUGCUGCUCCUGGCAGUCCUGGCACGUGCCCAUGGUGCCACUCUACUCAAUGCUCCGCCAUGCCCUGAUCCUUAUGGGAUCCACGCUUACGCUCACCCUGAGGAUUGCGGGGCUUUCUUCUUGUGCACGAAUGGCACGCUAUCCUUCGAAUACUGCGAAAACGGACUUCUGUUUGACGGACACGGUGCUGUGCAUAAUCAUUGCAAUUAUAAUUGGGCCGUCGAUUGCGGUAAUCGCAAGGCCGAUUACACGCCGAUCAGCAGCCCGGGCUGCGAAUAUCAGUUCGGCAUGUACCCGGACAGCGAUAGCUGCAGCACCACUUACAACAAGUGCAUCUACGGUGAUCCACAUCAGACCCAUUGCGACCCUGGCCUGGUCUACAACGCCAAGACCCACACGUGUGUGUGGCCGGACGAGCUCAUCCCCUUCUGCAACCCCGAGGCUAUAGUGGGAUUCAAGUGCCCGCACAAGCUGCCCCCCCACAGUCCCGCCGCCAAGUUCUGGCCCUACCCGAGAUUCCCUGUGCCGAGUGACUGCGGCAGGUUGAUCACCUGUGUGGAUGGACACCCGCGACUUCUCACCUGCGGAGAUGGAAAAUUGUUCGAUUCUGUGAGCCUGACUUGUCUGGACCCGGAUGAAGUUCCUCACUGCUCAAAUGGCAUUUAAACGUGGAGGCACAUUCUUGACAAUCAACAAACAUCAGACAACGAAUUAUACAAUCGGACAAAAUUGAUUCUGGAAAUUGAUUAAGAGAACUAAGGAGAAAAAUCAAUUAUAAAAGUCAAGGUAACUAUAAAGAUAAAUUAUAAAAAUAUUAUUAAGAAGACAUACACUUUUAUACAAAAAAACUAGAAGAAAUUAAUUAAAACUAAAGGCAAAAUAAAAGAUUUAUAUUCCUGUUAGAUUCUAUUUUGAUUCGGCGUUGCCAAUAGGUGGAGAAUAUAUCAAACGUAAAUUAUUAUUAAUAAUAGACGUUUAAAGGGGACUUAAUUGCAUGUAUCAUGCGUGAAGAGCAAAUGUACAAUAUGUAAUACAUAUAGUGUAUUUAUAUAAUACGAUAUGUAAUACAUAUAAUGUAUUUAUGAUAAAUAUAGUAACAAUGUACAGCCAGGCAACAUUGAAUAAAAUCUGGACAUGCGUAUAAAAAA
rnacentral:misc_RNA from 1 species